GACGAAGGAUGCAAGCGUUAUCCGGAUUCAUUGGGUUUAAAGGGUGCGUAGGCGGUCUUAUAAGUCAGUGGUGAAAUCUCUCAGCUUAACUGAGAAACUGCCAUUGAUACUGUAGGACUUGAGUACAGAUGAUGUUGGCGGAAUAUGACAUGUAGCGGUGAAAUGCAUAGAUAUGUCAUAGAACACCGAUUGCGAAGGCAGAUGACAAAACUGUAACUGACGCUGAGGCACGAAAGUGUGGGGAUCAAACAGG
rnacentral:rRNA from 1 species